GACGAACGCUGGCGGCGUGCCUAAUACAUGCAAGUUGAGCGCUGAAGGUUGGUACUUGUACCAACUGGAUGAGCAGCGAACGGGUGAGUAACGCGUGGGGAAUCUGCCUUUGAGCGGGGGACAACAUUUGGAAACGAAUGCUAAUACCGCAUAAAAACUUUAAACACAAGUUUUAAGUUUGAAAGAUGCAAUUGCAUCACUCAAAGAUGAUCCCGCGUUGUAUUAGCUAGUUGGUGAGGUAAAGGCUCACCAAGGCGAUGAUACAUAGCCGACCUGAGAGGGUGAUCGGCCACAUUGGGACUGAGACACGGCCCAAACUCCUACGGGAGGCAGCAGUAGGGAAUCGUCGGCAAUAGACGAAAGUCUGACCGAGCAACGCCGAGUGAGUGAAGAAGGUUGUCGGAUCGUAAAACUCUGUUGGUAGAGAAGAACGUUGGUGAGAGUGGAAAGCUCAUCAAGUGACGGUAACUACUCAGAAAGGGACGGCUAACUACGUG
rnacentral:rRNA from 1 species